UGAGGUAACCAGAGGUUGACAAGAUAUGUUCAAAGAUGGCUUUUGAUACAGGUGAUCCAGCCCGAGACAACAUGGACCUGGUUUUCUGAGCUGAGCUCAUCAGAGAAUCAAGGCUUAUGCACAGGAGCCUGAGUGCCCUCGCCCUCCCAAAUAGAAGCAUCAAAAAGCAGCAGUCACUCUGAAAAGUUUGGACAAAUUUACCUCCUAGAUGUGACAUGACUAUUUCCAUGGGGCACACAAGAAGGUCCAGCAGCUGUCUGCACUAGUGCUCAAAGCAGAACUUGUGCCAGUUCCAAAAGGGAAAGGUGCUAUAUGGACAGUUUAUAGCAGACUAUCAUCUUAGACUGGUUGCAGAAGCCCCGAUGCAAAAGGCUCUGAGCAGAGAAGGAGGAGCUGCAGCAAUGCAGACAGCCAGAAGUCAUUAAGCAGCCGUGGCCCCUCCUCUUGCCUCCGCCAGCUCCCCUGACUGGGCAACAUUCAAGAGCUAGCAGCUGGACAUCACUGCAGUGCUUCUGGAGCUGGGCACUUGUGGGAAUCCAUCAAGACAAGUUAGGCACAAAGACCCAUUAUGUCCCCUGAGCAAGCUGACACCUGACGGUAAACAGAAGAGGAGGAAGGGACCCCCUGCAUGGGGGUGCUGGCUUGACCUUUGCCAGACUGGGAAAAGACAUUAGCUUAUAGGCCAGGGAUAUAUGUAUUGAGCAUCAUGGACAUGCAUCCAGGAAUAAACCAUGA